UACGUAGGGUGCGAGCGUUAAUCGGAAUUACUGGGCGUAAAGCGUGCGCAGGCGGUUCGUUGUGUCCGUCGUGAAAGCCCCGGGCUUAACCUGGGAACUGCGAUGGAAACUAGCGAGCGUGGAGUGUGGCAGAGGGGGGUGGGAAUUCCGCGUGUAGCAGUGAAAUGCGUAGAGAUGCGGAGGAACACCGAUGGCGAAGGCAGCCCCCUGGGCUAACACUGACGCUCGAGGCACGAAAGCGUGGGGAGCAAACAGG
rnacentral:rRNA from 1 species